AAAUGCGAUAAGUAGUGUGAAUUGCAGAAUUCAGUGAAUCAUCGAAUCUUUGAACGCACAUUGCGCCCUUUGGUAUUCCUUAGGGCAUGCCUGUUCGAGCGUCAUUUGUAACCUCAAGCUCAGCUUGGUGUUGGGUGUCUGUCCCCGCCCCGCGCGGGGACUCGCCUCAAAAACAUUGGCGGCCGGUACGUUGGCUUCGAGCGCAGCAGAAACGCGAACUCGAGGCCCGACGGAUCGGCGACCAGAAGUCACUUCUUCCACAGCUUGACCUCGGAUCAGGUAGGGAUACCCGCUGAACUUAAGC
rnacentral:misc_RNA from 1 species